ACUAAAAGCCAAACCAAACGAUGAACAAACUUGAAAUCCCCCUCCCGGUUUCCUCUCUUCGCACCUCCGCCCUGAACGAUCGACGCUCCGGCAGGCCAAGGUUUGGGCUCCCCCUCCCUUCUCCGUCAAUCCACUCGCGGAUUAUCUUGUGCGCGGCUUAAUCGUUGCUGUGUGCUGGUCUUUCCCGUGGAGGACUUGCUCUGGGGACUGGGGUUAGGUUUUCAGGCGUCGUCUGCGAUUCUCGGUUGUUCCUGUCUCCACGAGUUGGUCGUCCCCAAGGAAUGCGAGUCUGGACUGGAUACACUCCUUCGCUUUUGUUCUGUGUGAUAAAAGAUUUAUAGCCUAUAAUAUCACAGCAAUGUAUACAACUGUGCAAACAUACUUUAUCUUAGGUUUUAAAACAGUUUCCGCUUAUUUUUCAGUGCCAUUUAGAAGAUGUUGGUGGCCAGAGAACAAAGCAAGUCACCGACCCAUGCUCAAGGUCUGCUGGAAUAUACACUAAAACUUCAUGCUGUUGGACAAUCAAGAAGCUGGUUUGCUACAAAGCUUUGUAGCAUCAAGUAGAUACUUUGGAAUGUUCUCGCAGCCUCCAUCUUCAGAUCAGCAACAGUAGCUGUUUGCGGAAGUGUUAAAAGUUCUGCUGGGAGGCUGGGUGGAUCACCAACCUGAUCCAAUAGCUCCACUUGGCACCAGAUGUGCAGCAGAGAUUGGUUUUGAGUGAUAUUGUUGCCUGAUUAGAUUGCAAAUACUGAACAUUGGUGAUAAAACCAACCUUGUCUCAAACAAUUGAACCAUCAGGCCACAACGCCGGCAGGUUUUGCAGCUGGCCGUUUUGUCAUUCCGAAUUAUGAAGUGAAACUUCUUCCCACAAACUGGGUGCCUGCUCCAGCCUAUCAGAGUUGAACAAAUUAAUGACAUCAAUUUGGCUCCAAGAUGUAAUUCAACAGUCAUGGUCAUGCCAUUAUCUAUUUGUCAGGAGAUGUGGCUUUAAGUUCCCGAACAGGUAGUUCAUCAAUUUAUAAUGAAUUACGUGUUAAACUUGAAAGAGUGAGGCUAUUAGGAAUAGGCUGUUCAUUUUGACAGCCUCUGUUCCCUCUCA